rnacentral:rRNA from 1 species
GACGAACGCUGGCGGCGUGCUUAACACAUGCAAGUCGAACGGAAAGGCCCUGCUUUUGUGGGGUGCUCGAGUGGCGAACGGGUGAGUAACACGUGAGUAACCUGCCCUUGCCUUUGGGUUAACUUCAGGAAACUGGGGCAAAUCCGGGAAAGAACCUCCUGCGGCAUGUGGGGGUUUGGAAGGUUUCGGCGGUUGGGGAUGGACUGGCGGCUUAUCAGCUUGUUGGUGGGGUAGUGGCUUACCAAGGCUUUGACGGGUAGCCGGCCUGAGAGGGUGACCGGCCACAUUGGGACUGAGAUACGGCCCAGACUCCUACGGGAGGCAGCAGUGGGGAAUAUUGCACAAUGGGCGGAAGCCUGAUGCAGCAACGCCGCGUGCGGGAUGACGGCCUUCGGGUUGUAAACCGCUUUCGCCUGUGACGAAGCGUGAGUGACGGUAAUGGGUAAAGAAGCACCGGCUAACUACGUG